AGAGUUUGAUCCUGGCUCAGGAUGAACGCUAGCGGCAGGCCUAAUACAUGCAAGCCGAACGGCAAGUCUUUUAGCAAUAGAAGACCUAGAGUGGCGUAAGGGUGCGUAACACGUAUGCAAUCUGCCCUCAACAGGAGGAUAGCUCCCCGAAAGGGGAAUUAAGCCUCCAUAGGAUCGUAAUGUGGCAUCACAUAGCGAUUAAACUACCAGGGGUUGAGGAUGAGCAUGCGCAUGAUUAGUUAGUUGGCGGGGUAACGGCCCACCAAGACGAUGAUCAUUAGGGGAACUGAGAGGUUGAUCCCCCACACUGGCACUGAGAUACGGGCCAGACUCCUACGGGAGGCAGCAGUAGGGAAUAUUGGACAAUGGGUGCGAGCCUGAUCCAGCCAUGCCGCGUGCAGGAAGAAGGCCUUCUGGGUUGUAAACUGCUUUUGCCAGGGGAUAAAAACACUUUGCGAAGUGGAUUGAAGGUACCUGGUGAAUAAGCCACGGCUAACUACGUGCCAGCAGCCGCGGUAAUACGUAGGUGGCAAGCGUUGUCCGGAUUUAUUGGGUUUAAAGGGUGCGUAGGCGGCCAAGUAAGUCAGUGGUGAAAUACGGCAGCUUAACUGUCGAGGUGCCAAUGAUACUGGUGAACUUGAGUACUGAUGAGGUAGGCGGAAUGGACGGUGUAGCGGUGAAAUGCUUAGAGAUCGUCCAGAACACCGAUAGCGAAGGCAGCUUACUAAGGAGUAACUGACGCUGAGGCACGAAAGUGCGGGGAUCAAACAGGAUUAGAUACCCUGGUAGUCCGCACCGUAAACG
rnacentral:rRNA from 1 species